rnacentral:misc_RNA from 1 species
CUUGAAAUUUAAAAUGUAUGCUCUAGAGAUGGUGAGACGGUGUCCUAAUAAUGUAUCUUUAAGAAUCAACUCUUUUUUGGUGUUAAAACGGGGGAUGAUAGGUUCACUCAUCACGAAAUCUCCGGAACUAUAACAGCUACAAACUUGAAAUCGGCAGAUAUACUCCUUAUAAGGAUAGACAUUCGCUAAGAACGGAUUUUACGAAAUUUGACCCCUAAGGAG